GCUCGCUUGGGCAGACCGUAUAGUGAAAGUAUAACAAUACAGGGAAGAUUAGCAUGGCCCCUGAACACGGAUGACACGCAAAUUCGUGAAGUGUUCCAUGUUAAA